CUAUUCUAUCAAGGAUCGGUAAUUGGGAAUAAGCUUCUCAUUUCAUCCUAAAGGAUUCUGUCACUCCACUGAAAUCUUAAGAGUCUCCAGUGCUUGUUAGGAAAGUGUGGAAGAUGAACCCCUUCUUCAUCCACAGAUCUGCCCUGCCGGUGUUUGACACCCGAGUCUGAAGCUGGCACCUCAUCCAUUCCCUAGUCCUGCCUUUUUGCUCCCCGGGCUCCCUUUCCAGUGCCACCAUCGCCCUCUUUGCACUUCCCUCGCACUCCAUCUCAGAAGCAGACUUCAAGGAGAUCAAAAGAGGCUGCUCCUCAAGGAAGAGCAGGGGUCCUGCGGCUAGAAAGCGGGGGGCAGUCUCUGUCCACACUCAAAAAUCAAAGAAUUAGCCCGACUUAAUCAAACAAAAUAUUACUAUGUUUUCCGAACAACUUAUUCAGCUCAGAGUCAAGCAACUGUAAGUAACUAAUGACUUAUUUUUACAAUAAUCAAAUUUGUCUAAAUGCAACUUCUUUUAUCUCUCAAAUCUAGUUUGGGGAUUGAUAAAAUCCUCAUCUCUCCACCAGAUGCAAUAUAAAAUACUGGCUUC
rnacentral:lncRNA from 1 species